AACCUUUACACUGCACGACAGUGCGAUAGGGGGACUCCGAGUGCGAGGGCAUAGAGCCCUCGCUUUUGUACACCGUAAGGUGGUGUACAAAUAAGAACUGGGCAAGACCGGUGCCAGCCGCCGCGGUAAUACCGGCAGUUCGAGUGAUGGCCGAUUUUAUUGGGCCUAAAGCGUUCGUAGCUGGCCGAUCAAGUCUGUCGGGAAAUCUGCUCGCCUAACGAGCAGGCGUCCGGCGGAAACUGAUCGGCUUGGGACCGGAAGACUCGAGGGGUACGUCCGGGGUAGGAGUGAAAUCCUGUAAUCCUGGACGGACCACCGAUGGCGAAAGCACCUCGAGAGCACGGAUCCGACAGUGAGGAACGAAAGCUGGGGUCUCGAACCGGAUUAGAUACCCGGGUAGUCCCAGCUGUCAACGAUGCCCGCUAGGUAUGGCGCAGGCUACGAGCCUGUGCUAUGCCGUAGCGAAGGCGCUAAGCGGGCCGCCUGGGAAGUACGUUCGCAAGAAUGAAACUUAA
rnacentral:rRNA from 1 species